rnacentral:misc_RNA from 1 species
GUAGGGACGAAUACAGCGUAGAACUAAACGCGUUCUCACGAGCCCAUCAUAACCUAUACUACAAAACAGAUUGGACGUCGAGAACGCACGCACGCACGCAGACACACACACACACACACACACACACACACACGCACACACACAGAGGCCGCUGCUCGCUCUUUUCUCUCUGUACUCGAGCGCCUGGCUUCUGCUGCCGUUCCUCAUUCCGCAUUCCUCAUCUCUCUCUCUUCCACUUGGGCUUUCGCCGCCUUUUCUUGGUUUUCGUUAUCUUGUGUUUGGUUGUCGCGCGUCUUCUCUAUCUCUGCACCGCCCCCCUCCCUUCCCUCGAAUAUACUCCCCCUUACAUCGUGCGCAGAGCGCGCCAGAGCGGUUUCUCCUCCCCUCACACCCCCUAACGCGAACGACCACCUGUAUUAUCUCCCUCCCAGGGGCUUCCGUCUCCGAUUUGUCGUUGCCUUCUUUGUGUCUCUUGGCUGGGCUCUGCUGCAGGGCUCGUUCUCGCGUAGGUGCGCGUCUGCACACCGGCUCUUGUUUAUUGAUGUGGACAGACAGACAUAUAUGCUUUUACAUGUUCCGUUUUCCCUCCUUCCUUCUUUGUGUUUGCUGCCGACUGUCGAUUUGUGUAUACUUUUAUGUAUGAAUUUCGGCCGAGCGCGUCUUUUUCCAAUUCCCAGUGUGGCGGAUCUCUUGCCCCUCUUGCUUCUCUGGGCGCUCUCUGCGCGUCUUUUGGGUUUAUCUCUGCAUCUCUCUUUCUUUCCGUGUUUCGCAGCUCUCACCCUCGCAGUGCGCGUUGUGUCUGUGUCGUGCCAUAGCACCUUCGCGGCGCUGCCACAGGAGCGGACAAGAAGCCACCACACACACACACACACACACACACACACACACGCAUAUAUAUUUAUAGAGCAUAGUCGAAAAAGGAAAAAAAACGCGAAUGCUGCACGGUCUUCUCAAGUGGUGCCUGUCGUCAAGCUCCACGCCGCAGGACGCUUUCAAGCGCGUGCACGCGCGCCUCGCCUGCCCGCCGCAGCUGAGCCGCUCAGACGCGGACAGCAGCGGUGCCAUAGCACCAGAGUCCCGAGUCGUUGACCCGUAUCACUUCAUUGUAUGUCAGCACGGUGUUCUCGGCAGCGCGGCCGACUUCGAAAACGUCAUCGUGGACGCUUUUGUGAGCCACGAAGUCAGUGUGCUGGAGGCGUCGGAGAUGGUGGCGGCUGCCAAGUGGGAGGAGGCAGCAGCGCGCAUGGCAGCGAUGUCGGCGGUUGAAUGCGCGGGGGAAAGAGGCGUGAGCGUACGAGGCGAAUUCUCUGGGUCCCCGCUGCCCUUCUACGGCAGCCCGUGCCCGAGGUACCGCUGCUCCAGUGUUCCUCCCUCUGCGCCCGUCCCUGUCGCGUGCAUCCCCGGCACCAGUGGCGCCCGCCAUACUGUACUGAGUCUCACGAGCAGCCUGCCGACUGUGCCGGGGAGUACGACGACCCCGGUAAGCUCCACGGACGACAGCGUGAUGCCGAGGACCGAGCUGAAGGAGGUGCUGUUGGAAGCAGCUUCCAUGAAGGCGGCGGCGGCGCAGAGGCAUCAAUGGCAGGCUGCUUCCAUGCGCGACAUUGCAGACGAUGCCGACAAGGCUUCAGGGCUGCAUGAGGUGGAUCCCGGCUCAAACUUGGAUAAUGCCUUGGCGGCCGAGCAGCAUGCGCGGCGCGCCGCGUACAAGGCUGCCUAUCGCUUGCAGAUUGAGUACCCGAACCGCAUGAAUGGGCGUCUCUACCGCAGCGGCAACUUGCAGUGCUUCUCACCGGGCAGCAACGAGUACCUGCGCACAGAUGCUGGCACACAGGCUUGUGCGCACAGGAUGCUGGCGGAGGUUGUCCCUGCCCUGCAGACGUGGCUAAACGAGGUGGAGUCGAAGGAGCAGCAGCGCCGGGCCAAGUGGGCGGUUUACGCUCGCACAGUGGGCACAAGCGACGCGGCUCGCCUCUCGACAGAGGCGGCAGCACCGCUUCCGAUAUGCUUCUCUGUGAUGGCGCACAGCUUCGGCGGCAUUAUCCAGCGCGAGUUUCUCUAUCUUCUUCUCGUCGAUCAAGCGGAAACGCGAGCAAGCGACGCCGUGCUCUUCCACGACAUUGUGAAUCUGCGCCAGAGGCUGCAGAGACUGAACGUCACCUUUGAGAAUUUCCUGACUGUGGCCACACCGCACUGCGGUACUGGGGAAUGCCUUUGGUGGCCAAUCUACUUUGGUGCCUGGUGCCUCGCGCGCAUGAAGCUCUGCCAGACCUACGACGAACUCAUAUUGUCCGACGCGAACCGCAUCUUGCAGCGACGCCUCCUUGACGAGCCUCACCUGCGCGUGCUGCAACUCUUCCGGCGCCGUGUGCUGUUUGCGAACACGCACCGCGACAUCUUAGUCGGAUUUGGCACGUGCUCACUUAUUUUCGAGAAUGUGGACACGGACCACACCAAGUUCAUCGGCGUGGCCCCCCGCACGGCGCACUGCGCGGCAGCCUUUGCGAACGAGGCGACAGAAGUGUCGAAGCCGAUUCUGCUGCGUUCUUUCGAAGAGAUGGAGGAGGAAGAAGCAUACGGCGGCGGCAGCGGCAGCAGCAGCAGCAGUGGCCGGCACGAUUCUCAGCGCUCUGCGUCGGCGCGUGCGAGGAGCUACACCAUGGAUGACCUUGUUUCUGCUUUGGCGCCUCCACCAGAUGCUGCUGCUGCCAAGAUGGUGCAUCAGGUGCCGCACUCAUCUGCACUUAAGUGCGCCGGCACGCUGGAGAGCGUCAUGGAGGGUUACUCCGAUGACAGCGAUUUCAUGACAGCAACCCUGCGGCCACAGGCUACAUCAUCGUCCGUGUCAGGUUUGACGGCGUCGCCCACGUCGACGCUCCCGUCAUACUCCCAAUCGCCGAUGCCCGACAGCACCACUGUGACAAGGAUGCAAUCCUCUGUAUUCGCUGCAUCGUGGACGAUCGGGAGAACGGUACCGGUGCAUGAUGAAGAGACGGUGCGCGUGGAGGAUGUAGCCGCUCCGUUGGUUGACCACAUUGACGGGGGUAGAAGCGAGUUCGACAAUGGCUCGCAGUCAUCCGCGUCUGCAGCAUCGACGGUCGGCUCACUGCUGCCGCGACCGUUCUCCCUAUUGCGGCGACACGACAGCUUGAUUUUACCCUCGCCGCUUCUGAAACGGUUCAUCUGUAGAAGCAGCGAAGGUGCAGCGACGAGCGAUGUUCAGGACUUCGGCGACGUGGGCUCCGUAACGUCGUCGCGCCGCAGCCGCAACAGCAGCACCGUGACAUCUCUCCUGCGCGAUCCUCGCUGGGCCUCCGAGUGCGUUCGCAGCGUCGCCUCAACAGUGCACGCGGAAGUGGAGAGGUGGCUGCGGGCUCCAACGACGAGUCCGAGGACAGGCGAGACGUCGAGAUUGAGUGAAUCGAAUAUGGACGCUGCCGCGGCCGCGGAGAGUGUGAUGGCGUUCUCUGCGCGCACGUCUGCGGUCGCGUCAGCGCGGUCUUCCAUGACACCGCUGAUGCCCGGAACAGAGGCAGAUUUUCCGCAGUACCGUCAAAUUCCUCGCGCCAUUGCGGCGACGCUGCGCCGAACGAUGAGCUGGCGCGUUCGCGCCAUCCGACUCGACAAUAUUCUGCCAGCGGGCCACGUUGCGUGUCUGGGCAACUGGGCCUUCUUAGGCCGCUCACCAUCGGUGGUUCAGGCUGCUGCCGAGGAGAUGCUCAUCAUUCUCUAGUGUGUUGCCGUCCUCGUACAUGCUGCUGCUGCUCCGUGCGCCGUGCCGUGAGAGAAGGCGACACAUAGGUGCACAUGUGCGUAUCUAUCACUAUCUCGGAGAAGGGCAGGUGGGGGUGGGUAUCUCUUCGGCGCCUUUGUUUCAAAGCUGGCUGGAUUCAUGUCGACGCCUAUUUUGGUGCCCUUGCUAUGGAUUCGUGGUGCAUGGUGCAUACAAUAACGCACACAGACACGGCCGCGCACGUGCGAAAAGAAAGCAUGGAUGAGGGGGAGAUGGAUGGUAUCGGCAUGCGUCUGCAUGGGCGUGUCAGGUGUAUGUUUGCCUGUCAUGAUGCGCCUUCCGCCCCUCUCCCUUUUACGAAUAUCUGGUGUUGUCGUCCUGCUCUUCCGGUGCGUCUGUGUUUUGCUUCAAGGCGAAAAAAAGAGUGUGUUCAUCGUUACGUCGGGCUUGACGUCGCCUUGCAGGCUCACGCGCCGCGCCUCUGCCUCUGCCUUUAUUUCCCUUUUGAAUUUCGUUCGUUACGGAUUUUGCUGUGGCACGCAUGUGCAAAUGUGUGCAUAUACGUAUGUGCGUGAUCUUACUUGGGCUACCAGAAUAAAAACGCUUUAAUGCUUCCAUUGUUUGUGCUUUUGUCCGUCUUGCUGCUUGCGUUCCACUGUGGCGUUGGGUUGCUGUCGCCACGUCGGCGCGGUUUUUUGCUGCGUGGUUGUGCAUGCGCGUAGGGGGAGGGAGGGAAGGGGGAGGGGCUUCGAAGCGCGAGCAUUUAUAUUGGCUCGCGUGUCUGCGCGCGCACGGCCCUGCCGGUUGCGGCGCGUCGCUGAUGGCUCACUCACUCCUUCUCUCUCUUUCAUUUUCUCACUUGAUGGAUUAGGUUUUCGUUGACAUAGUCCUCCUCUCGCUUCUCUUCUCGUGCUCUGUCUCGUUGUGUGUGGCUUUCUCUUGUGCUCACUCAACGGUCCUCCCCCUUCCCACUUCUCUUCGUCUUGUCAUUGCCUUCUCCUUUUCUUCAAGCCCGGCUCUUUUCAGUGUGCUUUCAUUUUUUUUUGUUUUCUUGUCCGGUAUGCGAGUGUUCUGCUUUGACACCCCUCGCCUUCUCCACACCGCCCCACUCUCCAUCCUUCCCUUCCUCCCCUUGGCCCUCUCUGUCUUGUGCACAUCCUUAUCCUUCUGUCCUCCUCUCUAUUCGACACCCGUUUUAACUGUCUCUUGCUCUUGUUCUCUCGCUCUGCGUGUGCUUGCCUGUGUGCCACCUUCAGCCCACCGCCCCACCCAACCCCCUCUUCUCUUCGGCAUUCACGGAGAUGGCACCGCCUUGUCGCCCCUUUUCUCUCUCUUUUGUUUGCCAUGUCCGUUUUACAUUUCUCUUUUUUAUUCUUGUAUAGUUCAACGCCCAUUCGCCUUUCUAUGUGCACACAUGCCCAUCAUCAUCGCCCCCAUCUCCCUUCCUCUUCUUCCUCCUUCCUGAUCUAUACGACGGCCCCGUCAGCGGGUUGGUUUUGUGGGGAGGGGAGGGGAUGGGCUCUUCUUCCUUUUGUGUGUCUGCUUCCCUUUAGCGGAAUGUCGCGUGCCUGUGGCGUCGUGUGCGAUAGACGCGCCUGACUCUCUUUUUUUGUUCCCUCGUCGUGGCUUCCACGUGUUUGUGUGUCGUGAUGGAUUUCUACCUCUUCCUCUUCCCGCCGCACCGCUUCGGCUCUGCGCGCAACGGUUGCGCAUGUCUGUGCGCGUGCGUGCGCGGGCAUCGAGGCGAUGCCUUCCUCCUUUUGUGUGUGUGGGGGUGGGUGUGCCAGAGCAAGACGGGACAUACACCCCCGACACUCCUCUGCCCUCUUUGCCCCUCUCGCGGGACACAGGGAGGCGCGCAUAUGCACAUACGCAUGUAUGCAUUAUUGCUGUUCCGUGCUCGUCGUUCCUGCGUUCUUAUCAAAAGAACGACCGAUGGAACGGGACACUCGCAUUCCUCGGCUCG